CACACCAACUAACUCCGCCAGCACGUCCUCGUCCGCUACUUUUGGACGGCCCGUACGCAGCGCUCAGUCUGUCGGUCGACCCCGGGGUUCUCCCUCCCUCAAAACCGAAACCUGUCCCGGGCCAGCCGAGCGAAACCGCCUCCGAUGUGCGGCACGCGUUAUUAGAAGCUCUUCCCUUGGUGUGUCUGUGCGUGUGCGCGAUCCACCGGCGCGAAGUUUGAGAAACGCGCGCGCGCGAAAAUAGAGAAAAGAAACGCGCUUGGGGUUGCUGUAAACCGCCGCCAAGGCGCCGCAAUCAUUGCGGACGACACGACGCCUCCGCCGCCUCCCUUCGCGCUGAUCGCCUGUUCGGCGGCGGUCGUGUGCUUCAGCGUGUGCGUCUGCUUGUCCGUGUGCUCCGGCGCCGUGGGUCGUCUCUUGCGGAGAGUCGUCUGCUGUUUCACGGUCUGCACCAAGGUGCUUCUGUUUUGAGCCCAACCAACCAACCCUUCGUAGUUGUUCGCUUAUUUUUUUUGUAUUUUUUUUUUCGUUCUGAACCCUGCACUCAGAGCACCCUAGAUACCCGGGUUAGCUUCGCCGCCAAGCACGCCCGACCUACCUCCCUCUUCGUCGUGACACAACGGUUUUUUUGUUUUGUUUUUUGUUUUUUUUUUUGCACGUGCAAGCCAUUCGUUAUUAGUCCCACUUCGGUCCCUCUGUGAAGUGCCUCUCCUGCCGGUGUCGGUAUUAUUUAGUGAGUGUUUUCGGUGUGCUCCUGUGCGCGGGUGGCCGUCAUUUAAUUCUACCUGUGGUUUUCACCCCCCACCAAUCAAGAUUGAGAAAAAACAGGACGGUGCUGGCCGGGGGCGGGUCACCAUGCCCCUUCCGCCGCCCCGGAAGGCCACCACAACAGGUCGGUCGACAGCAGUGGCAAGAGCCACUUCGCCAUCCAAAGUGAAAGCCUCGGGCUCAGACUGCCUACUAGCGGCCUUACCAGAUUCCCAAAUAAAAGGUAAGCUGA
rnacentral:lncRNA from 1 species